GCCCGGGUGGCGGAAUUGGCAGACGCGCCAGACUCAAAAUCUGGUGCCUUCACGGCGUGAGGGUUCGACCCCCUCCCUGGGUA
rnacentral:tRNA from 1 species